UACGAAGGGGGCUAGCGUUGCUCGGAAUCACUGGGCGUAAAGCGCACGUAGGCGGAUUGCUAAGUCAGGGGUGAAAUCCUGGAGCUCAACUCCAGAACUGCCCUUGAUACUGGCGGUCUCGAGUCCGGGAGAGGUGAGUGGAACUGCGAGUGUAGAGGUGAAAUUCGUAGAUAUUCGCAAGAACACCAGUGGCGAAGGCGGCUCACUGGCCCGGUACUGAUGCUGAGGUGCGAAAGCGUGGGGAGCAAACAGG
rnacentral:rRNA from 1 species